GGAUCACAUAUAGUGUUCAGGCUUAGCCUCAAUUAGAUUUAUUUGUUUUAAUAAAUUUGUUGACUCACGCAGUCACGCUGCUAAUGCACAUUAGUCUCCUCGUUACUCCAAAAAAGAAACUUCUAUAUCCUUGAUCACGGGCAAAAUGAACUCUGUAAGAACACCGACCGAAGGAAGAAGAGUCCCAAGCGCAGGAGAAGAGGAGCGAUGAAGCCCACACCGAUGUCGUAUCUAUACGAGCAUAUGAACGCGAUGGAGGAGGGAGCAUGCCUGGCGGUGGGGAUGGAGGUGGACGACGCCGACCCCGUCGAUGUCCUCGGCGAGAUCGAGCGUCCCCCGAUCGACGCCGACUUCUUCAACUCCUUUGAGGACGACUUCGACGACUCCGACGUCUGACCGCAGUGCCGACGAAAGCUUGAUGGGGAAAGCUCUUUACAAGGAGGCUUUGUGAAUAUAUGUUGCUGUAAACUUCUGUAUGUCUGGGUUUCUUGUCACUAUUUUCUGCCAAAUGUUAGAAUCAUUGAAACCCUGGAACCACCUUUUGCAUAGUUGUUGGACUUCAAAGGGUUUGAACCUGUGAAAGCUUAAUAAUUUGGUUUCAGCUCUGGCUUUGAGUUUAUACCUUGCUUUUGCUGGUACAUGUGCUGACGAAUUUGAAGUGAAUAUAAACCAUCUAAUUUGGUUUACAUCUUCAAGCAUAGGCAGCAGCAAACAUGCUAUUG